rnacentral:rRNA from 1 species
UACGUAGGGGGCAAGCGUUGUCCGGAAUCAUUGGGCGUAAAGAGCGCGUAGGCGGCCCUGUAAGUCCGCUGUGAAAGUCAAGGGCUCAACCCUUGAAUGCCGGUGGAUACUGCAGGGCUAGAGUCCGGAAGAGGCGAGUGGAAUUCCUGGUGUAGCGGUGAAAUGCGCAGAUAUCAGGAGGAACACCGAUGGCGAAGGCAGCUCGCUGGGACGGUAACUGACGCUGAGGCGCGAAGCGUGGGGAGCAAACAGGA